GAUGAAGAACGUAGCGAAAUGCGAUACGUAGUGUGAAUUGCAGAAUUCAGUGAAUCAUCGAAUCUUUGAACGCACAUUGCGCCCUUUGGUAUUCCAAAGGGCAUGCCUGUUCGAGCGUCAUUUGUACCCUCAAGCUUUGCUUGGUGUUGGGCGUCUUGUCUCCAGUCCGCUGGAGACUCGCCUUAAAGUCAUUGGCAGCCGGCCUACUGGUUUCGGAGCGCAGCACAAGUCGCACUCUUUUCCAGCCAAGGUCAGCGUCCAACAAGCCUUUUUUCAACUUUUGACCUCGGAUCAGGUAGGGAUACCCGCUGAACUUAAGCAUAUCAAUAAGCGGAGGA
rnacentral:misc_RNA from 1 species